UGGGGAAUCUUCCGCAAUGGACGAAAGUCUGACGGAGCAACGCCGCGUGGGUGAAGAAGGCCUUCGGGUUGUAAAGCCCUGUCUUCAGGGAAGAAAAAAAUGACGGUACCUGAGGAGGAAGCCACGGCUAACUACGUGCCAGCAGCCGCGGUAAUACGUAGGUGGCAAGCGUUGUCCGGAAUUAUUGGGCGUAAAGGGCGCGUAGGCGGUUAUUUAAGUCAGGUGUGAAAACUCUGGGCUUAACCGAGAGAUUGCAGUUGAUACUGGGUAACUUGAGUGGAGGAGAGGACAGUGGAAUUCCUAGUGUAGCGGUGAAAUGCGUAGAUAUUAGGAGGAACACCAGUGGCGAAGGCGGCUGUCUGGACUGUAACUGACGCUGAGGCGCGAAAGCGUGGGGAGCAAACAGG
rnacentral:rRNA from 1 species